GACGAACGCUGGCGGCGUGCUUAACACAUGCAAGUCGAGCGGUAAGGCCCUUUCGGGGGUACACGAGCGGCGAACGGGUGAGUAACACGUGGGUGACCUGCCCUCAGCUCUGGGAUAAGCCUGGGAAACCGGGUCUAAUACCGGAUAUGACUCCAUGACGCAUGUUGUGGGGUGGAAAGCCUUGUGCGGCUGAGGAUGGGCCCGCGGCCUAUCAGCUUGUUGGUGGGGUGAUGGCCUACCAAGGCGACGACGGGUAGCCGGCCUGAGGAGGGCGACCGGCCACACGUGGGACUGAGACACGGCCCAGACUCCUACGGGAGGCAGCAGGUGGGGAAUCUUGCGCAAGUGGGACGAAAGCCUGACGCAGCGACGCCGCGUGA
rnacentral:rRNA from 1 species